UACGAAGGGUGCAAGCGUUAAUCGGAAUUACUGGGCGUAAAGGGUGCGUAGGCGGUUCGUUAAGUCUGUUGUGAAAUCCCCGGGCUCAACCUGGGAAUGGCAAUGGAUACUGGCGGGCUAGAGUGUGUCAGAGGAUGGUGGAAUUCCCGGUGUAGCGGCGAAAUGCGUAGAGAUCGGGAGGAACAUCAGUGGCGGGGGCGGCCAUCUGGGACAACACUGACGCUGAAGCACGAAAGCGUGGGGAGCAAACAGG
rnacentral:rRNA from 1 species